AUGACAAUCUUCUGCUAUUUGAAGUCUUUCGAUGGGAAAAAUGAUAAGCCAUCUUCUCGGACGAAACUCCGCCGCCACGAGGCGGAACCUUGGCGGAACCAAUCUAGGGCUCUAGCGGAGCUGUUCUGCCGGGAAACUUCCCUCCGGGAGGGGGAAAUCAUCGCCAUCGUCAUCACCAACGCUCCUCUCAUCAGGAGAGGGCAAUCUCCAUCAACAUCUUCACUAGCACCAUCUCCUCUCAAAACCCUAGUUCAUCUCUUGUAUCCAAUUCUUGUCUCCAAGUCUGGGAUUGGUACCUGUGGGUUGCUAGUAGUGUUAAUUACUCCUUGUAGUUGA
rnacentral:rRNA from 1 species